rnacentral:antisense_RNA from 1 species
GUCUAUGGGCGGGCCGUGGCAGGGGAGCCGAAAGGCUCACCGGUUUGGUGUAGCGCCGGUCUUCCAACCUUGUCACUGUGCCCGCUCACCCGU